ensembl:lncRNA
CCCGUUAUCACAAAAUAUACCUUAAUCCCAAAAAUAAGGGGUGCCCCCCGCCCUCACCCCAUGGGAACAGUGCGGUCUGCAAUGGGGGGCGCAAAGAAUGGGUCCCCAGAGGGGGGUCCGCAAUUUUGGGAUGUGACGCCAUGGUGUAAACGUGGGGGCUCUCCCACCUCUGGGACAGACCCCAACUUUGGGGUGUAACAUGUGGGGGUGUCCCCAACUUUGGGGUGUGACACUGUGGUGUGUCCCCAACUUUGGGGUGUGACACCAUCGGGGGGACACAGAGAUGCCCCAACUUUGAGGUGUGACACAGUGACGCGGUGUCCCCACUUCCCCUGGGAAGUCCUCAAGCUGCUCACAGUGUCCCCAACUUUGGCGCAAUGCCCCCAGGGGGGUCCUUUUGUCCCCUCAUAGGACAGUGGGAGGCUCAGUGACAGCACCCCCUGGACACCCCAAGACACUUCUGGGACAUCUUCAGACCCUUCCAGAAGACAACAGGACCCUCUGAACCCACCAAAGGACCCCCCAGACCCUCCAAGUCCUCUCUGGGCCAUCCCCAGACCCUUCUGGAUGGCUCCAGGACCCCCCAGACCCACACGAGCACCCCCUGGACACCCCAAGACACUCCUGGGACAUCUUCAGACCCUUCCAGAAGACAACAGGACCCUCUGAACCCACCAAAGGACCCCCCAGACCCUCCAAGUCCUCUCUGGGCCAUCCCCAGACCCUUCUGGAUGAUCAUUCAGACCCACACGAGGGCUCCCUGGACCCUCGCAGACUCUACUGGGACAUCUCCAGAUCAGCCCAGAGACUCCUCAGAGCUCCUGGGCCCAUCGUGGGAGCUGCCAGACCCUUCCAGGGGCCCACAGGACCAACCUGGGGACUCCCUGGAUCCUCCUUGGAAAUCUGGAUGAGUCCAGAACCCCCUGGAUGCCCCCAGACCUCUCUAGGACGUCUCCAGAUCCUUCUUCAUGAUUCUAAGUGGGGAAAAGGGGGGUUUUGGGGGGGGUGAGAAAGGGGUUAGUGGGGCUUCUGUGGGGUGGAAAGGGAGUCAGGGGGUGGAGAGGGGGUGGUGUGGAAUCUGGGGGGGGGAAGGUGUGAGUGGGGCUUCUGUGGGGUGUAAAGGGCAUCAAGGGGCAGAAAGUGGAGGUUGGGGGGCCUGGGGGGGAAGAGGAGAACGAGACUUCCGUGGGGAAAAAGGG